AUGGAGUGGUCCAUCUUGCGGUUAGUUUGAAGGAACGGAAUUUGGAUUUUAAGUUUUCCAUAUAGUGAGCGAUCGGCUGUUCACGUGAUUGAAAGAGCUAAAUGACGCUGAAAAAUGUUCAAAAUUCUUAGCUACAAAAGGGUUUACCAACCAAAGCUAUCCUAUUGCUUGAUAACGCCCCUAGCCAUCCGCCAGAAGAUGAACUUAAAACUGCUGAUGGCUCAAUAUUCGUGGUUUAUAUGCCUCCAAAUUUAACGCCUUUUAUUCAGCCUGUGAAUCAAAAUGUGAUUCGCUUAACUAAGCUGUACUACAAAAAACAUCUGCUGUUAUUAGCUGUAGGAAAAGAUGACAUCACACAAUUUUUAAAAACUUUAACUUUUAAAGAUGCUGUAUCAUUUUUAAUGCUUGCUUGGAAUCAGCUGAAGGCAAGUGUAACAGCGAAAUGUUGGAAGCCUUUAUUAGAAUGAUUCAAUGCCACAGAGCCAAAUGAAAGCGAGGAUGAAGACGAUGAUGGUCCUCUGAGCUUACUUCGCCAAAAAUAUAAAGAAAUCGAUGAUAUGCAGGGUCUGCUGCAAGUUGUAAUACCGGAGGAAACCUACACUGAAAAUGAUA